rnacentral:lncRNA from 1 species
AAUCUGGAUGGCCAAUUGUUGGAAGCACAUAAAAAAAUCAAUCCUUAAUAUUAGAGUCACUAGACUUGAUUGUUACUUGACAAAUUACCGGAGCAUAAGAACAACAAUAACAUGUCACCAUUACAAAUCUAGACAAUCGGUAUGACGGUAUGACACAUGCUUUUAUUACAAGGAAAUAACCAGAUUCGUUUUUUUAUAGUUUGAGCACAAAACGUAUUUCCAUGGUCUCGAUUUUCUAUUUCAGCUUUCAUAAUAAAUAAAAUUAAACUACAUCUUCUUCUUAGAAAAUUACAAAGACGUUUUUACCAAAAAAAAUUACGAAGACGAGAAUUCAAGCUAUAAAAAAUGUGAAACUCUUAGAAAAAAAUGUAUUAGUUAUUCUUACUUUAUAUCUCGAAAUAUAUCAAAGUGAAAUAAAAAACCAAAAGAAUAAAUAGACACCAUUACAUUUUUUUUAAUUGUGUGUUCUCUUAAAAAAAGAAUGUUAAU